rnacentral:rRNA from 1 species
GACGAACUGUUCUAACGUUAUUCGGAAUCACUGGGCUUAAAGGGCGCGUAGGCUGUUUGUUAAGCGGGGUCUGAAAUCCCUCGGCUCAACCGAGGAACUGGGCUUCGAACUGGCAGACUAGAGUGAAGUAGGGGUAAGCGGAACUUGCGGUGGAGCGGUGAAAUGCUUUGAUAUCGCAAGGAACACCGGCGGCGAAGGCGGCUUACUGGGCUUCAACUGACGCUUAAGCGCGAAAGCUAGGGUAGCGAACGGGAUUAGAUACCCCCGUAGUCCCUGAGCGGGCUGG